AUAAUGAUACUCCCCUACCGCCAUAAUCCGAGCGUUAGAAGCGUCGCAGGUAAUGGGUAGGGCUGCAUGAGAACCAUGCAGGGGUGCAAUUCCCGUGG
rfam:Faecalibacterium prausnitzii A2-165 genomic scaffold Scfld0, whole genome shotgun sequence.